rnacentral:tRNA from 1 species
GUCCGCGUAGCUCAGUCGGAGAGAGCGCAGCCCUGCGGAGGCUGAGGUCGCAGGUUCGAGUCCUGCCGCGGACG